CACUGUCAAAGAACUUAGAAUGGAUUUACCCCAUGAGUUAUAAACAACAAGGACAUUAUGAAUGUGGAUACUAUGUCAUGAAUUGGAUGUCAGAAAUAAUUGAAGGGGGAGUAACAAAUGGUUGGAGUGAGCUUUUUGAAGAUGCUACACCAUUGGGGGAAACCAAAUUGGAAGACAUUCGGAUUCAUUGGGGAAUUUGUUUUUAGAAAAAUUUAGAAAUAGAUCAUGUUGAAAGGUCUAGUAUUACAUGUAAAAUUUAGAAAUAAGUGA